GUCAGUUUAAAGGAUGAUAUUGAAAUUGAAUCUUGUUGCAUAGAGUUCAGUUGUAUGCAAUGAUGAUUUAUAAGCAGCAUCAAUGAAGAAGGAAUGAUGUGAUUAAACUUGCACUCUUGAAGCCAUUAGAAGAAAAAGAAGAAAGUGAAAAUGAAUGUUGGUAGAGGUGGUGUGAGGUGUAAUGUCGAUGAUUUACUAGAGGA
rnacentral:misc_RNA from 1 species